rnacentral:rRNA from 1 species
GACGAACGCUGGCGGCGUGCUUAACACAUGCAAGUCGAACGGAAAGGCCCUGCUUUUGUGGGGUGCUCGAGUGGCGAACGGGUGAGUAACACGUGAGUAACCUGCCCUGGACUUUGGGAUAACUUCAGGAAACUGGGGCUAAUACCGGAUAGGAGCUCCUGCUGCAUGGUGGGGGUUGGAAAGUUUCGGCGGUUGGGGAUGGACUCGCGGCUUAUCGGCUUGUUGGUGGGGUAGUGGCUUACCAAGGCUUUGACGGGUAGCCGGCCUGAUAGGGUGACCGGCCACAUUGGGACUGAGAUACGGCCCAGACUCCUACGGGAGGCAGCAGUGGGGAAUAUUGCACAAUGGGCGGAAGCCUGAUGCAGCAACGCCGCGUGCGGGAUGACGGCCUUCGGGUUGUAAACCGCUUUCGCCUGUGACGAAGCGUGAGUGACGGUAAUGGGUAAAGAAGCACCGGCUAACUACGUG